GACGAACGCUGGCGGCGUGCUUAACACAUGCAAGUCGAACGAAGUGGCGAACGGGUGAGUAACGCGUAAUCAACCUGCCCUUCAGAGGGGGACAACAGUUGGAAACGACUGCUAAUACCGCAUACUGAAGGAGGGGAUUGUGGCUGAUUAGCUGGUUGGAGGGGUAACGGCCGACCAAGGCGAUGAUCAGUAGCCGGUCGGGGUGGAUGAACGGCCACACUGGGACUGGGACACGGCCCAGACUCCUACGGGAGCCAGCAGUGGGGAAUCUUCCGAAAGGGACGAAAGUCUGACGGAGCAACGCCGCGUGAGUGAUGACGGCCUUCGGGUUGUAAAGCUCUGUUAAUCGGGACGCGGUACCGGAAUAGAAAGCCACGGCUAACUACGUGCCAGCCGCCGCGGUAAUAC
rnacentral:rRNA from 1 species